CGGGAUUCAGUGAUUGCUUUGCUCUCUCAACGGCAGAGCCUGACGAGAGAUACGAAUCAAGACGGUGGCAUUAUCCAAGGUCUACUACCUUCAAUUAUUUCAACAGUAUGUUGCAUUAUUAACAUGAUGUGAUGCAACGCCAGCAGCUAAAAGAUUAUUUCUCCAAGAAUGCAAUGUUUUGUCAGUUGAGGCUUGCCAUUUUGUAUUGCAGAAUCAUCAAAAGUCCGCAAGAAAAGCAAAUGCCGAGGAUAAGUUCAAUCAGGCAUGCAACCAUAAGGAGGGAAGUUACAAAUCUAAGGAAAUGGACUAACAAGACGAUCAAAUUAUUGGUGACUAGCCACGAAAUACCAAAACACUGUACCGUGUCCGUGAUCAUUUAUAAAUAUAUCUUUUUUCACGUGCGACGAUAAUAACACCUUUAGACUCCUAUCAUAUUCAGCAGUAUCAUCUUGCACAAGACAAACGUCUUCUCUCCAGUCAUCUUGAAUGCAGACCACAGCAAAUUGAGACGUCACAGCCACAAACUCUCUUUUUUCUUCUCACAUGGUAC
rnacentral:lncRNA from 1 species